AAACGCUGGCGGCGUGCCUAACACAUGCAAGUCGAACGAGAAAGCGGUUUCGGCCGAUGAGUAAAGUGGACGCACGGGUGAGUAACGCGUGGAUAAUCUACCCUUUAGUCCCGGAAUAACUUGCCGAAAGGUGAACUAAUACCGGAUGACAUCCCGGGUUACUCCGGAAACCGGGAUCAAAGAAGGCCUCUGCUUGCAAGCUUUUGCUGAAGGAUGAGUCCGCGUACCAUUAGCUAGUUGGUGGGGUAAUGGCCUACCAAGGUUAGUGAUGGUUAGCUGGUCUGAGAGGAUGAUCAGCCACACUGGAACUGAAACACGGUCCAGACUCCUACGGGAGGCAGCAGUGAGGGAAUAUUGCGCAAUGGGGGCAACCCUGACGCAGCGAACGCCGCGUGAGUGAGGAAGGUUUUCGGAUUGUAAAGCUCUGUCGAGCGGAAAGAAAUGCACGAUGGCUAAUAUCCGAUCAUGCUUGACGGUACCGCUAGAGGAAGCACCGGCUAACUCCGUG
rnacentral:rRNA from 1 species